AAUAGAUACCCUGGUAGUCCACGCCGUAAACGAUGAGUGCUAAGUGUUGGGGGGUUUCCGCCCCUCAGUGCUGCAGCUAACGCAUUAAGCACUCCGCCUGGGGAGUACGGUCGCAAGACUGAAACUCAAAGGAAUUGACGGAGGCCCGCACAAGCGGUGGAGCAUGUGGUUUAAUUCGAAGCAACGCGAAGAACCUUACCAGGUCUUGACAUCCCGGUGACCACUAUGGAGACAUAGUUUCCCCUUUGGGGGCAACGGUGACAGGUGGUGCAUGGUUGUCGUCAGCUCGUGUCGUGAGAUGUUGGGUUAAGUCCCGCAACGAGCGCAACCCUUAUUCUUAGUUGCCAUCAUUCAGUUGGGCACUCUAAGGAGACUGCCGGUGAUAAACCGGAGGAAGGUGGGGAUGACGUCAAAUCAUCAUGCCCCUUAUGACCUGGGCUACACACGUGCUACAAUGGACGGUACAAACGGUUGCCAACCCGCGAGGGGGAGCUAAUCCGAUAAAACCGUUCUCAGUUCGGAUUGUAGGCUGCAACUCGCCUAC
rnacentral:rRNA from 1 species